rnacentral:rRNA from 1 species
UUUGAUACUAGCUCAGGACGAACGUUGGCGGCGUGCUUAACACAUGCAAGUCGAACGGAAAGGCUUCGGGGUACUCGAGUGGCGAACGGGUGAGUAACACGUGGGUGAUCUGCCCUGCACUUUGGGAUAAGCCUGGGAAACUGGGUCUAAUACCGAAUAUGACCAUGCACUUCCUGGUGUGUGGUGGAAAGCUUUUGCGGUGUGGGAUGGCCCGCGGCCUAUCAGCUUGUUGGUGGGGUAAUGGCCUACCAAGGCGACGACGGGUAGCCGGCCUGAGAGGGUGACCGGCCACACUGGGACUGAGAUACGGCCCAGACUCUACGGGAGGCAGCAGUGGGGAAUAUUGCACAAUGGGCGCAAGCCUGAUGCAGCGACGCCGCGUGAGGGAUGACGGCUUCGGGUUGUAAACCUCUUUCAGCACAGACGAAGCGCAAGUGACGGUAUGUGCAGAAGAAGGACCGGCCAACUACGUGCCAGCAGCCGCGGUAAUACGUAGGGUCCGAGCGUUGUCCGGAAUUACUGGGCGUAAAGAGCUCGUAGGUGGUUUGUCGCGUUGUUCGUGAAAACUCACAGCUUAACUGUGGGCGUGCGGGCGAUACGGGCAGACUUGAGUACUGCAGGGGAGACUGGAAUUCCUGGUGUAGCGGUGGAAUGCGCAGAUAUCAGGAGGAACACCGGUGGCGAAGGCGGGUCUCUGGGCAG